rnacentral:rRNA from 1 species
UACGAAGGGGGCUAGCGUUGCUCGGAAUCACUGGGCGUAAAGGGUGCGUAGGCGGGUCUUUAAGUCAGGGGUGAAAUCCUGGAGCCCAACUCCAGAACUGCCUUUGAUACUGAAGAUCUUGAGUUCGGGAGAGGUGAGUGGAACUGCGAGUGUAGAGGUGAAAUUCGUAGAUAUUCGCAAGAACACCAGUGGCGAAGGCGGCUCACUGGCCCGAUACUGACGCUGAGGCACGAAAGCGUGGGAAGCAAACAGGA